GAGACGGUCGCGAGCUGGAGACGAGAUGGGCGCUGCAAUGCGUCUCGCGGGGGUCUCGUCUCUCUGAGACGAGACACGAGCCCGGCGCGAGACACGUUGUGGAUGGUCUAAUUCUCACAAUUCGUCAACAACUCAGUGUAUCAAGGCGGCUCUCCCAAUUCAAUUCGUCACCGCCUAUCGGAAACCUCAUCCCCCAAUUCUCACCGCCUCCCCCAAUUCUCGUCUGCAAUAGGUGAUUCAUCUCUGCUCGAGGACGCUUCAUUUCCAGCGGUUUUUCCUCUCACUGACUUCGUUUUCCUCUCAAUUGAGAUCGAGGUCUUGGAAGAGAUUUCACAUUAUCCAGAGACAGUGGGUGCUAAAUUGAAGGGAACUGCAGGAGGUAUAAUGUUUCUUUCAAAUUGAUGAAUCAAUUUUCUUGAUUUGUAUUUAUUCUAGGCAAAUAGUGUUAGUGAUUAUCUUCUGAUAGGAUUUGUAAGGUGGUGGUGAGUUUGGUUGCUUUGAAUUUUACAUAGUAAAAUAGAGAAGUGACAUGGGAAGAGGCACAAAAGUGAUACAGUGGUUUCUGAAUUCUGAUGGAUUGCGUA